UCUCGUGACACAAAAAAAUCGAUCCGCGCAUGUUAAUAAUUUAAAUGAUAGUUAGAGCUUCAAAUUCAUAUAAAAUUAACUUGAAGAGUGCACGUGGAAUAACUACACAGUGGUUCAUGUGUCAAGGUUAAUUAGCCCUGAUUUGGAGCAAUUUUAGCAAAGUAAUGCGAACAUGCAAAAGUUGUUGUCUGUUAUAAUAAUACAUAAAUAAAUGAAAUAAAAAAUUAUUUAUUAUUAUUACUGUUACAAUAAUUGUUUUUAUAAGGACAUUUACAAACAGGUGGAUGUAAAGUGGAACGAAUAAAAUUACCACCGGCGAUUGUAAACAAGAAAUGAGGCAUGCAAGACGGUAAUUGAACGCGAUCUUAACAAAAGGUUUGUAAUCGUCACAAGUUGGUUGAAUAAACGAAAGAGGCUGGAAUUGAUGAGUCACUGCCGCAAUGACCUAGAAUGCCCGGGAAGGACUGGCAGUAGGUAUUAUUUUUUCCAAAAGACGUCCGGUGACCCGGUUUCGUGUAAUAUUCGGUGUUAUAUACCGAACAGUCCAGAUCGGCGACGACGAAGAACGGUAAAACGAAUGAAAAAGUUCUAGAAGACAACGGAUGUGCGAGUAGGACGCAAAUUAGACGACAAGAAGUGCGUUAAACUGUAACUGAGGAGAAAUCGAGUUAGAAUAUCCGGGGAAAACCAAAAUUGAAAAAAAAAACAAAGAAGCGUAAUUAAUUUAAUUUAUGUUCUUCAUUAUGCGGCAAAAUAAUACAAUGAGAGACCCUGUUUUGGAAAUAUUCGCAACUAUACUUCUAUUAUACUUCACCAAAAUAUAAAUUUCGGGCUAAUUGAUACUUGAAAACGGAAAAAAUGUUACUUAUUAUUUUCAAGGUGGCGGAAAAAGUAACAAAUUUUUCUGAGAGGAAUUUUAUUACAGAGCAUCAAAAAUCUAAGUCCAUUAAAUUUAUUUUUAAUUCUUGCAAUAGUAAUAUGGAAUAAUUACAUAUUAUGCGUUUAGUUCUGGUUAAAGACUAGUCAGAGGUAUCCUUGAAUUGCCUUCUUGAGGAAACUUACAAGGAAUUUGCGGAUCGCAAUACCCAUAAAAAUAAUUUAAUAGUGUUGGCAACUGACAUAGAAGUUGUUACAGCAAUAAAUAUUGCUAAAUGCAUUAUUCAUUCCACAUUUAAUAUUACCUUUAAAGUGACCAAGCGUCAACAAAACGAAUAAAUAUCCGUGUUUUUACGAACAAGGUUGUGACAAAAUUUUCAUGCUUGUUAAAUACCAUAAUCAGUUCAAACUACAAUUGAAAUAGAGUACUCCUGGUGAUGCGUUUUACUUCAGAAUACGUUUCCACCCAGUUAUAUAAUUCAUUGAGCUAUUCACCAGACACAUGUCCUGCUACAUUCUUUAUGUUCAUCUUGUAAUGAUGAUAUGCUUAUGCCAAAAACUUGGUUGUUUGAAGAUGUGUCUGAGGAGAUGCGAUUAUGUAAUGUUUAAGAAAAAUCGUAACUAUCUCUCCGAUUUGAUUAAUGCCGUGCCAAUGAUGAAUGUGGUGGGUGUCCAAAAUUUAUAAACAAAGUUCAAACCGAAAGGUUGCUCGGAUCAUAAGUGGCCAGCGUGGUUUGCUAAUAAGGUGAAGAGCUCUUAUCGAAAUAAAUUAUUGCUAAUGCUUAAAUCUCAUAUGCGAGCUCAUUAGAAGAAGUCUUUAAGGAGUUUUUGCUAUUACAUGUUCAUGAAAGCGACCGGAUUGCUGGCCUUUUGAGAAGAGACAACUUGGAAUUCAGCACAGAUCAAAGCAUCGUGUAUGCUUUUGCAGAAUAUCAUGGACGUAUUUACAUUCAAUCAAAACCUGUAGACAAGAAUGUUACCACAUCCAAUCAUAACCCACAUUUAUCUAUUGAAUGUUUCAGUUUAGAGGAUAUGGUGAAUAUGAAGCACUAGGAAAGAGUAAAGUAAACACCAAUGGAAUAACAAUAAUACCCUGGUGUACACGGAAGUUAAAGAACUGGCUAAGAAGAAAAGGAACGCAUAUAUAAAAUAUAGGAGAAAUUAUAGAAAGACACUGGAAAAUUUUCACGAAGAACAUGCAAACUGAUUGGCACAGGGAGCAGAGGAAUGUUUGAAAAAGGAUUCAAAAUCAGAAAAGAGAUGUGAAUGAAUACUUUCAGAUUAACAGCAUAUCGAGAGAAACACUUUGCAUGACUAAAAAUAUAUAACGAUACCCCACAAUAACUAUAUAACCAGGGAGGAGAUAUAUGAAGCCUUAACCAAAUUAAAAAACCGGAGAGAGAGAGAGAUGCGGCAUACAGAAUAUUGGCAAGUGGGUUAGGAAAAGGAAGCGCCAAUGCAGUCGACAUGUGGACAGAAUAACGGAAGACUGAAUAGCUGAAGUAUGCAAACGCAGUCGACCUGUGGGGAAAAGGACAGCAGGAAAGCCACUGAAAAGAAAUAACGUAAUCCUAAACUAAGAAAAAGA